AGUCGAGAGGGGAAAGCCCUCGGCGUACUGCUCAGUAACACGUGGAUNCCCUUNCCCUGCGGUGGGAAAUAACCCCGGGAAACUGGGGAUAAUGUCCCAUAGAUUACGGAUACUGGAAUGUUCUGUAGUCCAAAGAUUUAUCGCCACAGGAUGGGUCUGCGGCCGAUUAGGUAGUUGUUGGGGUAAAGGCCCAACAAGCCUUUGAUCGGUACGGGUUGUGGGAGCAAGAGCCCGGAGAUGGAUUCUGAGACACGAAUCCAGGCCCUACGGGGCGCAGCAGGCGCGAAAACUUUACAAUGCGGGAAACCGUGAUAAGGGAACUCCGAGUGUCCGUAAAUUCGGACUGUCCGUAUGUUUAAAAAGCAUGCGAAGAAAGGGCCGGGCAAGACCGGUGCCAGCCGCCGCGGUAAUACCGGCGGCUCGAGUGGUGGCCACUAUUACUGGGCUUAAAGCGUUCGUAGCUUGGUUGUUAAGUCUCUUGGGAAAUCUAUCGGCUUAACCGAUAGGCGUCCAGGGGAUACUGGCGAUCUANGGACCGGGAGAGGUGAGGGGUACUUCAGGGGUAUGAGUGAAAUCCUGUAAUCCCUGGGGGACCACCUGUNGCNAAGGCGCCUCACCAGAACGGCUCCNACAGUGAGGGACCAAAGCUGGGGGANCAAACCNGAUUAAGAUACCCGGGU
rnacentral:rRNA from 1 species